rnacentral:rRNA from 1 species
GACGAACGCUGGCGGCGUGGAUUAGGCAUGCAAGUCGAACGGUAUCAUCCUUUCGGGGAUGAGAGAGUGGCGAACGGGUGAGUAACACGUAGGUGAUCUACCCUCAAGACGGGGACAACCCAGGGAAACUUGGGCUAAUACCGGAUGUGAGCUAUCGCGAGAUAGUUUGAAAGGUGGCUUCGGCUGCCGCUUGAGGAUGAGCCUGCGUCCUAUUAGCUAGUUGGUGAGGUAACGGCUCACCGAGGCGAUGAUAGGUAGGCGGCCUUAACGGGUGGUCGCCCACACUGGGAUUGAGAUACGGCCCAGACUCCUACGGGAGGCAGCAGUCGAGAAUAGUCUACAAUGGUCGAAAGACUGAUAGUGCGACGCCGCGUGAACGAAGAAGCCCUCGGGUGGUAAGUUACUUUUAUUAUGUGUAGCAGUGCUUCUUAUUAUUAACUAAGUAUGGGAGGAGAGAUAUUAGCAUAUGAAUAAGUACAACGGACCGUAACUACCGUUCG